rnacentral:misc_RNA from 1 species
CGUUUGGAAAGAUAUAAACCUAACAUGUCUUCAAGAGUGCCCCAGCAGCACAAACCACGCUGCUUUGCCUCCUGGUAUGAUCCUUCAAGACUUCUUGGCUAGACCCUUCAACAAAGACCCGCCAACUGAACCCUCCUCUGAUAGGGGCACAGAUUUCCUAAAUUCUUUAGCGACACGACCUGCCACUAUGUUAAGUUUGAAUUCUGGGUCUGAUUUUGAAAUUCUUGAAAGUGGUACUGUACCCAGAAGGCCAAACCCUCAGUUGCAUAGUCAUGCG